UACAGGGGGGGCAAGCGUUGUUCGGAAUUACUGGGCGUAAAGGGUUCGUAGGUGGCCACUUAAGUCAGACGUGAAAUCCCUCAGCUUAACUGGGGAACUGCGUCUGAUACUGGGUGGCUUGAGUGCAGGAGAGGGAUGCGGAAUUCCAGGUGUAGCGGUGAAAUGCGUAGAGAUGCGGCGGAACACCGAUGGCAAAGGCAGCCCCCUGGGCUUAAAUUGACGCUGAGGCACGAAAGCGUGGGGAGCAAACAGG
rnacentral:rRNA from 1 species